rnacentral:rRNA from 1 species
GAUGAACGCUGACAGAAUGCUUAACACAUGCAAGUCAACUUGAACUUCGGUUUGGGUGGCGGACGGGUGAGUAACGCGUAAAGAACUUGCCUCACAGAUAGGGACAACAUUUAGAAACGAAUGCUAAUACCUGAUAUUAUGAUUAUAUGGCAUCGUAUAAUUAUGAAAGCUAUAUGCGCUGUGAGAGAGCUUUGCGUCCCAUUAGCUAGUUGGAGAGGUAACGGCUCACCAAGGCGAUGAUGGGUAGCCGGCCUGAGAGGGUGAUCGGCCACAAGGGGACUGAGACACGGCCCUUACUCCUACGGGAGGCAGCAGUGGGGAAUAUUGGACAAUGGACCAAGAGUCUGAUCCAGCAAUUCUGUGUGCACGAUGAAGUUUUUCGGAAUGUAAAGUGCUUUCAGUUGGGAAGAAAAAAAUGACGGUACCAACAGAAGAAGUGACGGCUAAAUACGUG